rnacentral:rRNA from 1 species
CAGUAGCCGCGGGAAUACAGAGGGUGCGAGCGUUAAUCGGAUUUACUGGGCGUAAAGCGUGCGUAGGCGGCUUCUUAAGUCGGAUGUGAAAUCCCUGAGCUUAACUUAGGAAUUGCAUUCGAUACUGGGAAGCUAGAGUAUGGGAGAGGAUGGUAGAAUUCCAGGUGUAGCGGUGAAAUGCGUAGAGAUCUGGAGGAAUACCGAUGGCGAAGGCAGCCAUCUGGCCUAAUACUGACGCUGAGGUACGAAAGCAUGUGGAGCAAACAGGAUUAGAUACCCGUGUAGUCCCUGUCUCUUAUAC